GUGCUUGCUUCGGCAGCACAUAUACUAAAAUUGGAAUGAUACAGAAAAGAUUAGCAUGGCCCCUGCGCAAGGAUGGCACGCAGAUCCCGUUGGUGUGACUGAGUGUC
ensembl:snRNA U6 U6 spliceosomal RNA